GUACACGCUGUGACUAGCAUAUCAAUAAGCGGAGGAAAAGAAACUAACAAGGAUUCCCCUAGUAACGGCGAGUGAAGCGGGAAGAGCUCAAAUUUGAAAUCUUAAAGGGUUUCCCUUUACGAAUUGUAGUUUAAAGAAGUGUUUUCUGUUGAGGUUUUGGUAAAAGUUCUUUGGAAUAGGACAUCAUAGAGGGUGAGAAUCCCGUAUUUGACCUUUACUUUCAACUUUGUGAUACACUUUCAAAGAGUCGGAUUGUUUGGGAAUGCAGUCCAAAAUGGGUGGUAAAUUUCAUCUAAAGCUAAAUAUUGGCGAGAGACCGAUAGCGAACAAGUACCGUGAGGGAAAGAUGAAAAGAACUUUGAAAAGAGAGUUAAACAGUACGUGAAAUUGUCAAAAGGGAAGCGUUUGACACCAGUGUUGUUUUUCUGAAAAUCAAUUAAAGAACUGUUUAUGCUAAGUUGUUUAGACUUUAUCAGCUAUCUGCUUUAGUUUUGAGCUUUUCUUUAAUGCACUUUUCAGUUAACAAGUCAACAUCAAUUUCUUUUGCUGUAAAAAAGCUUGAGGAAGGUGGCUUGAGAUUCGUCUUAAGUGUUUAUAGCCUCUUGCCUAUGCAGUCGGAGAGAUUGAGGUCUGCAGCGUAGAUCCUUCGGGGCUAAAUGCAUUUGUGCUAAGUUAUAGCAUUUUAUAGACAACUUGUUGACUAUAAUUUGUCUUGUAGCUUACUCGCUUAUGUUAUUUUACCUACGCUUAGGAUGUUGACGCGCGUGUGUGCGUG
rnacentral:rRNA from 1 species